AGGCAUUCAAAAUGGUUUGCAUCAGUCAGAUGGUUCAGAUCGCCAUUCUAGGUGCUGGCCUUGCUGCUGCGAAUCCCAUUCCCGGAGGUGACCACUACCCGGAAAAGGAGAUCAAAACCGUCACAGUUACCGAGUAUAAAACGGCAUACAAACCAGUCACCGAGUUCAAAGAGAUCACCAAGUUCGUGACUGUCAACCAUCCCGUCACCCAGUGGAAGACCAUGACGAUAACGGACUAUCCCAAGCCUGUAACGAUCACCGACUACAAGCCAGUGACUGUUGUCCACACGCAAGCCGUGACUAUUACUGCUGUCAAGGAGGUCAUCGUUACUAAGACUGCUGUCCAUGAAAAGCCGGUCACGCAUUUCCAGACCAUCACCGUUCCAGGAAAACCCGUGCCUGUGCCGACCACUAUCGUCAAAGUGCAAACGGUCACCAGUAAGUGCGAACCAAAGAAACACGACGGUGGAAAGUACCCCGAGGGGAAAUAUGACGACGGAAAGGGCUACGAUGGAAAAUACGGUGCUGGGAAGGAC
rnacentral:sRNA from 1 species